ACGGAGGGUGCAAGCGUUGUUCGGAAUUAUUGGGCGUAAAGGGCGCGUAGGCGGUAAUGUAAGUCAGAUGUGAAAUACUUCGGCUCAACUGAAGAACUGCAUCUGAAACUGCAUAACUAGAGUACAGAAGAGGGAAACGGAAUUCCCGGUGUGGAGGUGAAAUUCGUAGAUAUCGGUGGGGACGCCAGUGGCGAAGGCGGUUUCCUGGUCUUAUACCGACGCUGAGUCGCGAGAGUGUGGGGGGCAAACAG
rnacentral:rRNA from 1 species